rnacentral:rRNA from 1 species
AACUGCGGAAGGAUAUUA